rnacentral:rRNA from 4 species
AGAGUUUGAUCAUGGCUCAGAUUGAACGCUGGCGGCAGGCCUAACACAUGCAAGUCGAACGGUAACAGGAAGCAGCUUGCUGUUUCGCUGACGAGUGGCGGACGGGUGAGUAAUGUCUGGGAAACUGCCUGAUGGAGGGGGAUAACUACUGGAAACGGUAGCUAAUACCGCAUAACGUCGCAAGACCAAAGAGGGGGACCUUCGGGCCUCUUGCCAUCGGAUGUGCCCAGAUGGGAUUAGCUUGUUGGUGGGGUAACGGCUCACCAAGGCGACGAUCCCUAGCUGGUCUGAGAGGAUGACCAGCCACACUGGAACUGAGACACGGUCCAGACUCCUACGGGAGGCAGCAGUGGGGAAUAUUGCACAAUGGGCGCAAGCCUGAUGCAGCCAUGCCGCGUGUAUGAAGAAGGCCUUCGGGUUGUAAAGUACUUUCAGCGGGGAGGAAGGGAGUAAAGUUAAUACCUUUGCUCAUUGACGUUACCCGCAGAAGAAGCACCGGCUAACUCCGUGCCAGCAGCCGCGGUAAUACGGAGGGUGCAAGCGUUAAUCGGAAUUACUGGGCGUAAAGCGCACGCAGGCGGUUUGUUAAGUCAGAUGUGAAAUCCCCGGGCUCAACCUGGGAACUGCAUCUGAUACUGGCAAGCUUGAGUCUCGUAGAGGGGGGUAGAAUUCCAGGUGUAGCGGUGAAAUGCGUAGAGAUCUGGAGGAAUACCGGUGGCGAAGGCGGCCCCCUGGACGAAGACUGACGCUCAGGUGCGAAAGCGUGGGGAGCAAACAGGAUUAGAUACCCUGGUAGUCCACGCCGUAAACGAUGUCGACUUGGAGGUUGUGCCCUUGAGGCGUGGCUUCCGGAGCUAACGCGUUAAGUCGACCGCCUGGGGAGUACGGCCGCAAGGUUAAAACUCAAAUGAAUUGACGGGGGCCCGCACAAGCGGUGGAGCAUGUGGUUUAAUUCGAUGCAACGCGAAGAACCUUACCUGGUCUUGACAUCCACGGAAGUUUUCAGAGAUGAGAAUGUGCCUUCGGGAACCGUGAGACAGGUGCUGCAUGGCUGUCGUCAGCUCGUGUUGUGAAAUGUUGGGUUAAGUCCCGCAACGAGCGCAACCCUUAUCCUUUGUUGCCAGCGGUCCGGCCGGGAACUCAAAGGAGACUGCCAGUGAUAAACUGGAGGAAGGUGGGGAUGACGUCAAGUCAUCAUGGCCCUUACGACCAGGGCUACACACGUGCUACAAUGGCGCAUACAAAGAGAAGCGACCUCGCGAGAGCAAGCGGACCUCAUAAAGUGCGUCGUAGUCCGGAUUGGAGUCUGCAACUCGACUCCAUGAAGUCGGAAUCGCUAGUAAUCGUGGAUCAGAAUGCCACGGUGAAUACGUUCCCGGGCCUUGUACACACCGCCCGUCACACCAUGGGAGUGGGUUGCAAAAGAAGUAGGUAGCUUAACCUUCGGGAGGGCGCUUACCACUUUGUGAUUCAUGACUGGGGUGAAGUCGUAACAAGGUAACCGUAGGGGAACCUGCGGUUG